AUGAUGGUUGAUUUGUGUGUGUGUGUGUGUGUGUGUGUGUGUCCGUGGCAGGAAUGCGCAUCGGCCAAUUUUCAGGCCGCCGGUCCCCGGCUCCCCAAAUCGCCAUUUCGCCCCCGCUCCCAAACGCGUGCGGUGCAAGCACCCCGCCAGCGCGAGUUACACGGUGCGCACCGAGCCGCGAGCCGGGGUGGCCGCCCCGCCCCCGCCCCCGCCCCCUCCCCCUCCCCGAGGUCUCGAGUUCCAGUCUGCAACGCCAAGUGCACGGGCGCGCACAUCCACAUUCACACACACACGCACACGCACACGGAGCCGAGGCUCUCCCCCCUCUCCGGAGCUCCUGCUCGAACCUUGCCCAGCCCUCGCUAUAUAAAUAACACCAGGCCUGCGGCAACCCGCUGCAUUAGCAUAUUCCCCCUUGCAGGAGCGAGGAGAGCGCGGCACCUCUCACCCCGGCGGCCCCACAUGCUGGAGACAUUUCGCAUUCUGGGAAGUUUAUUAAUGGGAGUCUUAGAGCAGUCCAUUUCCAGUAGGAUUGGGGGAGGUGGGGGGGGGGGGGGGGAGGUGGGGGCGGGGAGGGCGGACCCUGGAGGCCCAGGCCUGCUGCCACCUGCCCAUCGGUCUGCACAGCUGGCCACCUCUGGCCGCAGCAGCAGCGGCUGCUCAUCCCAGGCCCGGGCCCGGUUCUGCAGCGGUAGCAGUGCCUCGGGGAAGGUGCUGAGCCCAAGGAGCUCCCGGCUCACCCUUGCCUCUUUCCCGGCGGAUUCUCUUGUCAUGGACGGGGUGGCCACGUUGCCAGAGAAUAGGAGCCUGGAGCAGGGGACACAAAAUACAUUCCAGACAGAAAGAAGGGAUUCACGUUUCCCUUCCCGUACGGGGUCAGCCCAUCUAGGACAACAGGGCCAUCUUCCCCCGCUCCUGCACCCCCCCACGGCUGUGUCUGGGAUAAACCUCCCAGAGCUAGGGUGUUGGGGAGAAAAGAGAAAUGAAAAUGUAGUCUUUGAAGACCGGGCACCAUGCACUUGUACAGGUGCAAGAUUCCAGGGGGCACGUCCGUCUUGGUUUGGUUGGACGACAUCUGGUGCAACACUCUGCAUAGUUAACAGCACGGCAAUCCAAUGCAGCGAGCACUUACUAACUAGCAACUGUGUACCAGGCACGCUGCUGGCUGCGGUGGCUCAAAUAUGACUCAGACUCCGACUUAGACGCUUUCUCGUGGUCUUGGAGGUUGUCAGGGAGGAAGGUCGUGAUAGAAGUGCUUACUGCAGCAACCUCGUGAGUGGUCACUAGAAUGUUGGAAAGAAUGGACGAAGACGGGGCGGUCUGCAUGUGCAGUGGAAUAUUCCUCAGCCAUCAGAAAGGACGGCUACUUUUUAUUUACAUCAAUGGGGAUGGAACCAGAGGGUCUUAUGCUGAGUGAAAUAAGUCAAUCGGAGAAAGACAACGAUAUGGUUUCACUCAUAUGUGGAAUAUGAGAAAUAGUGCAGAGGAUCCUAAGGGGUGGAGGGAUGCUGAGUGGGAAAAAAUCAGAGAGGGAGACAAACCACAAGAGACUCCUGACUCUGGGGAACACACUGAGGGUCGCCGGAAGGAAGGAUGGUGAGAGGAUGGGGUAACGGGGUGAUGGGCAUUAAGGAGGGCACGUGAUGGGGUGAGCACCGGGUGCUACAUGCAGCUGAUGGAUUAUUGAAAAAUACACCUGAGACUAAUGAAAGGGAAAAGAACAAAAAUCAUUGCAUUUAAAUUUUACUUAUUUUAUAAAAGAACAAAAAUAAACUGAAGUGCUUGAACCCUAAGUAAGUGUUUCUUGAGUACAUAUUCUCUAAAUAGAAGAGUUUAUGGGAAAACUCACAGUUUGGGGUUUUAGAGCUGUCCACACACACACACACACACGUGCGUGCGCACCGGAACCCUAUGUCUGGAUUUCAGGACAUCCCUGGUCGUCUCUUCCCGAAUGAAGAUGAGGAUGUUGGCAUUCUCCUAGUGCUUCCAUUUCUCUUCCUCUUCCUCUUCAUUCUGUCCAGUUAUAUUGUUAUUUCUAGUUGAAUGGAGUUCCCUAAAAAAGAGAGGCCCUUGUCCUAGCCCCCCGGUGGAUGUGACUCUAUUUGGAAUUGGGGUCUUUGCAGAUGGAGUGAAGUUAAUGAGGUCACGGUGGGUUACGCUGGGCCCUAACGCAGGGCGCGGUGUCCUCGUAAGGUGCGGGAAGUUUCGGCACCGACACGCAGAGGAGAGAGGGCCGUGGAGAGGCAGACGUUGGAGUCGUAUAACCGUCGACGGUGGAAGGCCCAGUGUUGCUGGCAACCCCCGGGGCCUGGAAAGGAUUCUUCCUUUGAGCCUCCAGAAGGAAUCAACCCGGUCACCACCCUGAUUUGUACCUCCAGCCUCCAGAACUGUGGGAGAACAGGUUCGUGCUGUGUAAGCCCCCCCCGGUCGGUGAUGCCUUGUUAGGGCAGCCCCAGCAACCAGAGAGCUAUUUUUACAUCGUCCCAGUUUGCAUUGUCUGUCUGUCCGUCGCGUCCUGGUUGGGAACCACAGCUCUCGUUGGUGUGUGAUGUGUGUUGGACCCUUCCACGGAGUCACUGUUCACCUGCCGUUUCCUGAGGCAUGCGGUCUCCCUUUCCUCUUGCCUGGUUUUUUUAUCUUCCCGUCGUGGAAGUCUUGGUGACUUCCCCCCACCCCCCCUCCACCCCCCACCCCCUGUCCUUCACCCUGUUCUUUGUGCUAUGUGUCUGCUUGGCUGCCCAGCCAUUCUCUCAUCGGCCGCGUGCCCCGGCAGCUCUCCACAGACCUUCUGUUUGCUCUGAACUAAAGAAGAUAACUUGACAUUUCUCCUUCCUUCUCUGAGACCAAGUUGUUUCUCUCUAUGAGCAAUUUGAGGCCUGAGGACUUCCCUGUCUGUUGCCUCAGAGAAUUGCAGGUGUGGAGGGAAGGUCCAUUCAAUGGACGUGAGCCGGUAUACGUGUUGGACUACCUAGACUUUCUUUCAUGAGAGGAAGUUGCGUUCACCACGUGGCGACAGGCUCUACUGCACAUGGUUAGGGCAUACCUGCUCUGUGGGAACUGUGCUGAGGGUUUCAGGUUAUUGCCCUAAAGCAAUGUGCGCUCCCCAGCGCUUUAGGUCAGGCCCUACUUCACCCACUUCCCUGUUUUGCCCAUUUUCAUCCACAACUGACUCCUCUACUCCUCUGUCAGAAGAGGACAGAGACAGCUCUUUUUCUAACCUGGCUCUCAGGAUUUGGGGGACCCACAAUUGUGGCUCUGGGAGCCGUGUGGCGCCUGCUUGACCACCUGGCUCUGCUGGGUCUCUGCUCUGUGAUCCAUGCUACAUUCUUCCUUGCCUUGGCUUCCAAUUUUUGAGAUGUGGUUUUUUUUUUUUUUUUUUUUUUUGAGUUAUACUCAUUUCCUCCUUGGUUGCUAUUUGGAAUAUUCCUUUUUUUUUUUUUUUUUUUUUUUUUUUUGCCAGUUUAAUUUUUUUCCCUUGCUUGUGUUGAGAAUUGGGAAAAUUGGGAAGAGAGGGGUCCUGGGUGGCUCAAUCACCUAAGCAUCUGCCUUUGGCUCAGGUCAUGAUCCCAGGGUCCUGA
rnacentral:lncRNA from 1 species